GACGAACUGUGCAAACGUUAUUCGGAAUCACUGGGCUUGAAGAGUGCGUAGGCGGUUUUGUAAGCCAGAUGUGAAAUCCCCGGGCUUAACCUGGGAAUGGCAUUUGGGACUGCAAGGCUCGAGUGCGGCAGAGGAGACUGGAAUUCCUGGUGUAGCAGUGAAAUGCGUAGAUAUCAGGAGGAACACCGAUGGCGAAGGCAGGUCUCUGGGCUGACACUGACGCUCAUGCACGAAAGCGUGGGGAGCAAACAGG
rnacentral:rRNA from 1 species